ACGGGACCCGCACAAGCAGCGGAGCGUGUGGUUUAAUUCGAUGCUACACGAAGAACCUUACCAGGGUUUGACAUGCAAGUGGUAGGAAUCUGAAAAGGGACCGACCCUUCGGGGAGCUUGCACAGGUGCUGCAUGGCUGUCGUCAGCUCGUGUCGUGAGAUGUUCGGUUAAGUCCGCUAACGAGCGCAACCCUCACUGUGUGUUAUAUGUGUCACACGGGACUGCCGGUUUUAAGCCGGAGGAAGGUGGGGAUGACGUCAAGUCAGCAUGGCCUUUAUAUCCUGGGCUACACACACGCUACAAUGGUCGGCACAAUAGGUUGCCAAGCCGCGAGGCGGAGCCAAUCCACAAAGCCGGCCUCAGUUCAGAUUGUAGGCUGCAACUCGCCUGCAUGAAGAUGGAGUUGCUAGUAACCGCAGGUCAGCAAUACUGCGGUGAAUACGUUCCCGGGUCUU
rnacentral:rRNA from 1 species